UUUGGUGAAUACUAUUUUAAAGCC
rnacentral:siRNA from 1 species